rnacentral:rRNA from 1 species
UACGUAGGGACCAAGCGUUGUUCGGAUUUACUGGGCGUAAAGGGACGGCGUAGGCGGCAUAUUAAGUCAGCUGUGAAAUCUCCGAGCUUAACUCGGAACUGUCAGCUGAUACUGAUGUGCUAGAGUGCAGAAGGGGCAAUCGGAAUUCUUGGUGUAGCGGUGAAAUGCGUAGAUAUCAAGAGGAACACCUGAGGUGAAGACGGGUUGCUGGGCUGACACUGACGCUGAUGCGCGAAAGCCAGGGGAGCGAACGGG